AGCGAACGCUGGCGGCAGGCCUAACACAUGCAAGUCGAACGAACUCUUCGGAGUUAGUGGCGGACGGGUGAGUAACACGUGGGAACGUGCCUUUAGGUUCGGAAUAACUCAGGGAAACUUGUGCUAAUACCGAAUGUGCCCUUCGGGGGAAAGAUUUAUCGCCUUUAGAGCGGCCCGCGUCUGAUUAGCUAGUUGGUGAGGUAAAGGCUCACCAAGGCGACGAUCAGUAGCUGGUCUGUGAGGAUGAUCAGCCACAUUGGGACUGAGACACGGCCCAAACUCCUACGGGAGGCAGCAGUGGGGAAUCUUGCGCAAUGGGCGAAAGCCUGACGCAGCCAUGCCGGGUGAAUGAUGAAGGUCUUAGGAUUGUAAAAUUCUUUCACCGGGGACGAUAAUGACGGUACCCGGAGAAGAAGCCCCGGCUAACUUCGUG
rnacentral:rRNA from 1 species